rnacentral:lncRNA from 1 species
CUGCUGGUGCUAUUUGUCUUACGGGUUAUACUGCCUCCAUUCAUCAAGGUUAUUAGGCUCCUGCACAUGGCACACCUUUAUUCCUUUCAUUUCCCCUCUGCCUCCCGUCACCCCUGCCUGGUGUGUCUUCAACGGUCCCAUAAUAAAGCCUGGAGCUGCAGCCAAGUCACACAUGUUCCCGGACACAGGGAGGAACAAAUUCCAGGCAGAGAGGAAUUUCUACCAAACUGCUUCAGCUUCACGAUGAAGGGAAGGUUCUGAUGCUGUGGAGGAAGAGGAAAUGGGUACCAGGAUUCAUUCAACAGGGGCCGCGGAUUUACCUCAGUGAUUCCACUGCCUGCCUUGGAAGUGCAAGGUCCCGAGUCUGAUCCCCAGCACCAAAAACAAC